GAUGAACGCUGGCGGCGUGCCUAACACAUGCAAGUCGAGCGAGAUAAAUGUGAGUGGAGACUUCGGUCAAAGCGAUCAUUUUGAAAGCGGCGGACGGGUGAGUAACGCGUGAGCAAUCUGCCCCAUACAAAGGGAUACCCACUGGAAACGGUGAUUAAUACCUUAUAAGACCACGAAGUCGCCUGGCUUAGUGGCCAAAGAUUUAUCGGUAUGGGAUGAGCUCGCGUCUGAUUAGCUAGUUGGUGAGGUAAUGGCUCACCAAGGCGACGAUCAGUAGCCGACCUGAGAGGGGGAACGGCCACACUGGAACUGAGACACGGUCCAGACUCCUACGGGAGGCAGCAGUGGGGAAUAUUGCACAAUGGGCGCAAGCCUGAUGCAGCAACGCCGCGUGAAUGAUGAAGGCCUUCGGGUCGUAAAGUUCUGUCCUAAGGGAAGAAUACAGUGACGGUACCUUAGGAGGAAGCCCCGGCUAACUACGUGCCAGCCGCCGCCGUAA
rnacentral:rRNA from 1 species